UAAGAAUGCACCCAAAAACUCAUAUAAUUUGCCAUACAUCUUUGUUUUUUUUUUAAUAUUUUUUAUGACUAUAAUAUCCUUAUCUCUAUCUCUCUCAUUUUUUCUUUUUAUGUGUUCUAAUCUCUUUAUCUCUCGUAUAGAUUCUUCAAAUCAUCUUCUAAUUCAACACAAAUCUUUAUUUUUUUAUUCUGAUUCAUUUGACAUCCAUAAUGCUAAUCUUAUUAUCUCACCCCAAUUCCAAUGUUUCUAAUUUCGAGUCACAAUCAACUUUUAGAUAAUAUAUACGUUAGUAGGUAUUUUAUUAGUUACCUGCUAAUAUUUAGAUUUUAAUGAAUUUUUAAUCGAUACAUGAAGUGUUAGCUGUUACAAAUAGUUUUGGGGCUAUUUGAUAGAUAACUAAUUAAUUGUUAAAAGUUUCAUU
rnacentral:lncRNA from 1 species